GGAUUGACUUGUUUGUUGUGGAAAUGAUGAAUGCAACCACGGUAGCUGAUGCUAAGACUCGUGCAGCAAGAGCAUUAGAAGCUUUAGAAAACUCAAUUAGUGCACGUGCUGGUGUUGAUGCUGCACAAAAUUUCCACAAGGAAAAUAUGCAACUGAAGGAACAAAUUGAAGUACUUCUACGAGAAAAUACAAUUCUUAAGCGAGCAGUUGCCAUACAACACGAACGUCAGAAGGAAUUUGAGCAUAAAAAUCUAGAGUUGCAGCACCUUAAACAGAUGGUAUCUCAAUAUCAGGAGCAGCUCAGAACCCUAGAGAUAAACAAUUAU
rnacentral:misc_RNA from 1 species